GACGAACGCUGGCGGCGUGCUUAACACAUGCAAGUCGAGCGGUAAGGCCCUUUCGGGGGUACACGAGCGGCGAACGGGUGAGUAACACGUGGGUGACCUGCCCUCAGCUCUGGGAUAAGCCCGGGAAACUGGGUCUAAGUACCGGAUAUGACUUCAUGACGCAUGUUGUGGAGUGGAAAGCCUUGUGCGGCUGAGGAUGGGCCCGCGGCCUAUCAGCUUGUUGGUCGGGGUGANGGCCUACCAAGGCGACGACGGGUAGCCGGCCUGA
rnacentral:rRNA from 1 species